rnacentral:rRNA from 1 species
GAAGACCGCAAGCUAAACGCGCGUCUGAAUGUGAACUGCAGGACACAUGAACACCGACACGUUGAACGCAUAUGGCGCAUCGGACGUUUAAACCCGACCGAUGUACACAUUCUUGAGUGCCUAC